AGGCACACAGACAACCAAUUCAAGUAAGUGGUAGUAUUAAACACUGUCAAUUUCAAGACUGCUUUUAGAAGAAGAGAAUCGGUUUGAAAUCAAAGUAUAAAAUACAUUAGCACUAUUGAUAAUCAUGAUCAACCAUGGUUAAUAAUACAGAAGGAAACACUAAAAACAGCUCACUGCACUGCUUGUCACAGGCUGUAUAACAUUGUCAUGCCAUAUGGUAACAGAAAUUGCUCUGAAAAUAAUUGCAUUUUCAAGAUGGACAUCUUUACAGAUGAGACAUCGCUACUAAAAACAGAAGUGUAAAACACUACAGUCUGCAAUAAUAUGAAAUGUCACUAUGCAUUACAGUAUUUUGUUACUUCUGGGGGAAGAUUAAGGAGGAAAGGAACUGUGGUUUUAUCUCCCCAGAUUGUGCCAAAGAACUUGAAAAUAUUUAAAGAUUUGCAAGGUAUGAAAACCAGGCCAUGGCAUGGCAGUUAGAAGCUGAUGUUCUUUUUUAUUGGAUAACAAUUUUUUCUCAUGUUUUACUUUCCUCCUCAUCUUCUCUGUCAUCAUUGCCACUCAAAUGCCACCAAAGGUUCAAUAUGCUUUAAUUUUAAACAUUUUACAGUGGAUUCACAUAUCAUAUCAAUAAUAUUAGACUAUUAUGCCAAUACUACUGGAGAAACUAUUGUUAUAAUGUCAUUAUACAAGGCUGUUGGAUUUAUUUUUUUUUUAAUGUAUACUUUUUAGUUUUCUUGAUGUCUCAGCAAAAGAAACACUCACAAUAGGACUUUUUUCCUCACAAUCAAUAUCCAGGCUUGAAACAUCCUUAAGCGUUAUUCUGUUGCCAGUUAAUGUCUUCAGAUGUCCUUCCAGUUUUCACUGGCAAGCAAUAUCCAAUUUCAGGCAAGCAAUAUCCAAUUUCAGGGAGUAGUACACAAUACAAACCAACAUACAUAUAUGUGCCUUCACCAAAACAGGUAAUAUCAGAUGAAGAAAUCCAUUUGUUUUUUCGUUUGGUUGGUUUUUUUUAACUUAGAAAAGAAAGCAAGGGGGGUGGGGAAGGGAAAGGUUGUAAACAGAAAUUUGAAUCAAUCUUCAAAAAAAUAAGCAUGCUUUUUUCUCUGCCACCAGACUCUCUCGUGGUGCUCUCUUCCUCAAGCACUUUGCAGGUGUCCAUCACGACAUUCCUAAGCCUUUGUGCCUAGAACCAAAUACUUUUCAAAUCUCACACUCUGUGGGGCACAGCCUUCCAUCAUAAGAAACAAACAUAAAGAUGCCACUUUUGGUUUAAGCCUCAGAGCCAAGAACAGGGUGAGACAGAAAAGCCUACUGCUGCUCACCACUGCAAGGAAGAGGGCACUUUGGUCUAAACCAGUACAGAUGAUUUAUGAGCACACAUAUGCAAGACACUGUAGUACCACAAAAAUAUUCUCUGUUAGAACCAAAUACAUAUGAAAACAAAACGAUUUUUGGAGCACAGCUGGCACUGUAUAGAACUAAGUUGUGCUGUGUUGGUAGAUCCAUCAAUAAAUUGUUUUUAUUAAUUUAAUUGAAAACACAUUAAUAAAUAUUCUUUAGCAAACUUGCCUUUUAAUGUUGUUACUGUUGAUUACUUCUUUGCUCUGGUUAUUACUGGUGUACUCUACUACUCUAGAACACAAGGUACCUUAUUCUUGAUGGGACACAUACAUUUGUAACACCAAUAGGUGUUUUUUUAAUAACUUCAUCAAACCAGUUACAUGAAGGCUAAGAGGAAAUGAAUAACACUAGUAGAACAAAAAAAGGUUAAUUUCAGAUAUAUUUUGAUAAAAAUGCAUCAAGGACAAGCAUUUUAAAUUUAAGCCCCACUAUCUGGCUGAAACAAAGCUAUAGAGUGGGAAUUACACCAUGAGAAAUCCUUAGAAAUAUCUUCUUUCAACUACAUAACAAAAAGGAAAUCAGAUUGGUUUUUAAGUAUCUUGGAAAAUCACACAGCUAAGUACUACUGUGUUCUCACAUAAGACUUAACCUAAAGAAAACUACUUCCAUGCUUUUAGAAACGGCAUUUUCUUUAAAAUCUUUACAAAAGACUAACUCCUGGGGUUGGCAGGAAGGGAGGUUGGGGAGAAGGGGAGCCAUGGGAGUGGGGGAGGAGAGGAGGAAAGUUUUCCACAAAGGCUGGAUGGUUUUCAACACAAUUUAAAACAAAACUAAUUUUGUAAAAGGUCUCCUAAUUGACGAUGGUAAUACCAGCAUUCUAAAUAAUUUCUACACCAAGUCUACAAACCCUUUUCUUCUAAAAAAAAAAUUAAAUAAUUUACAGCUAUGAAAAAUAUGAAAACUAGUGAGUAUAGCAGAUAUAUGUUUUCAUUCAUAUCUUACUUCCAGCAAAAAUCAUCACUGGAACAAUAAAAAUAUCUGGCAUUUAUCUGAUCAAGAUUCAUUCUCUUUGAAAAAGGCUGUAAGAGACUAUUUUGCAUUUCUUGAGAUGAUAAGUGUCAAACAUGGCUAUUAAAAAUGCAUGGAAACUGAAAAUAUACUCUAAUAUACUCAAACUAAGAUCAGCAGUCCAUACUGGCCUCAGAAUCAUCCAUGGAGAAGAUCUGCUUUCAGUCUAAAUGUCUUUUUAAAAGAAAACUGCAGGCUCAUCGAUGUAACUACUAAUUAACCUGCUAACUCCAGAUGCAAUCAUCAUCUUGUAAAGAAUACAAGACCUUCAUCAACUUCAUGUAAUAAAAACUUGGUUUAAGAUACAAGUAAUGGGAAUAUAAACAGAAAUAUUAUACACUCAGGUGCUUACUUUUUGAAUAUGUAAGCGCAGAUCAGCUUCUAGAGUGGCAAGGGUUUAGUUUGAAGAUGGACAGUAAGAAUCUCCAAUUGCUGACUAAAGUUGACUGUCACCAGACUCGUAGACAAGAAUUCCAAAGGCAAAUUAGUGCAUACUGGUGUUUCUUCUCAGGUUGUUAUGACAAAUAUGUCUAUGAUGAGGACAGUCCCUCUGCCACAGCGAAGGGAAACAGGUGGGAUGUCAGGUCUCUGAAGUAAAUAAAUCCUUGUUGAAUACCUAUUGAGAACUAUGUAAGAAUGUCUUGUGGGAUGUGGAUGGGGCUUCUCUCCUUUGGCAGAAGAUUUCCAAAUUUUCUUUCCCUCAUUUCUUUUGUCUUUGGUUUUGGGGUUUUUUGUUUGUUUG
rnacentral:lncRNA from 1 species